ACGCCCCCACUUUUCCCUAAGGCGAACCAAAGGGUAUCCGCAGGACGCCUGCCUAGCUCUCGCCAGAAUUCAAGCAAUUCCAUUCAACUUAUAUCCGGACCACACAAUACAAAUCGAUAACUUAGAUACAAUAAUUGCGGAAGUGUUCAAACUUAAUAACAGUUAUCCAUUCUUCAAACCACCCGUCAGCAUACAUAAUACAUUUCGUCCAAAGCCAAAGGCAUAAACAAAAGUAAUAGCAACCCUAAAACAAAAGCACAUCAAGAGGGCCGCUCCAUUUUACCUCUGAACUCAACCUGUUAAGGAAAACAAAUCUACAGGAUGAGCAAAACGCUCGUGAGGCCAAGAACACACAUGCAAACACAUAGUUCAGAUAACAAUCCUAAAUAACAAUUCAGGUAUUAGCUUGCAAGUAAUUAAUAACACCAAUAAACUGUAACCAGAAACAAUUCAAAGAUAUAGAAGCUCUCAGGAGCUAAGUUCCACAUUUGCCGAUACCAUUUAUAUAUCUUUCCGUGAUGACUCUCCGUCAAUCGGAUUGAUAUUUUCAUAUCCGUAGUUCACCACUUACUUCCCAUUCGUCCACCAUACACCACUUCGGGCCCGCACGACAUUUAUAAGGCGAUACUUUACGAGUAUACCAAGCGAGAUCUCUCAAUAGAUCAAGUUUAUCAUUUGAAUCUCAUGGUUCACCGAGGUUCCCGACCAAACCCAUGCCGGCUCGAGUUCCAAGGUCGGCCUAUGAGUUUGGGCGUCCCCCAUGUGUCAUGUAAAUGUCGAGGAGAUUCACUCCAUCGACGUAUGCAAUCAUAGCAUACCAUUUCAUGUAUUCAAGCAUUUGAUAGGUUUAAGCAGGCAUUUCAAGUCAUGUAAACCAAGCAAAUCAUGUUAAGCAUGAGUCAUUCGUUUCAAAUGAGAACGAGUGCGAUCAAGUACACACUCGACUCCAUUUUGUCAAAAUCAGUUAAGCUAAGCAUGAAAUCAGGUGAAUCAAGCAUGAAUCAAGACUUUAGAGUUCAAGUAGGCAUACACUUGACACUCACCAAGUUAUGCAAGCAAGUAAAUUGGAGGAAGAGUUCAAACUUCCACAGUAGGGUCCUCUUGGAGGUCCUCGUGCGUGCUUGAGCAAAUAAUAGUGAAUUAUCACCCAUAUCCCAAAUAUCGAGGAAUAAUUCGUUCACUAGUAUUACUCUAGGAAAUUCGGUGAAAAUGAACCUCAAUUACUCGUAAAUCGAGGUUCGAGAGAGGUUUGAUAACAUUCAACAAUAUUUAAGUCUUUAUCUAGAAAAUCGGUGAUAAAACGUUUAGAUAAUAUCAAAAGAAUAAAGAGUUCUUGAAAAACUCUAUUUCCUUGAAAGUUGGAAAAUUUUCAGUUUUGUUAUGAAUCUUUGAAAAAUCGUAACUCACUCGGCAUAAGUCGAGAAUUGGAAAACUUUAUACCGUUGAAAACCUCUUAGAAAGUACUGCAAGUUCCUAGAAGACACUGAUUCAUGAAUCGAAGUGGAAAGUGCUCAAAAAUGAGCAUAAAGUUGCUGUUCCAAAUCACCCAGGAUUGAGCCGGGGUUGGUUUUUCGCUAACUUUGAAAAUUCGGCAGAAUUCACUCGUUGCAAACCAGCCCUUGAAAUUUAUAGAUCAAUUAGAGGUGUAAGUAAGGUUUAGGGCAGAACAAACGGAUCGAGAAUCGGAGUUUCGAGCACCAAGAUAUGGUAGCUCAAAGUUGGGAAAAAAUUGAAGACUGUUACAAAAUUUCCAGAUUUGGUUCCGACUUUGGACCUUUUGUUAAGUGUCGAAACGGACUUGGAUUGACACCAAAUUUUGCAGUAUACUACUUCCAUAUGAAAGUUAUUUCUCUAUCAAAUUUCAUGGAAAAAUACCCUCGGAAGGGUGGUCAUUCAAUCAACCAAAGUUUGGAAAAAUCCUUAAGGCAAUCUGUCCAAAGCUAAGGUUUUCAAAAAUAAGGCAGUCGCCGUAUUUUGAUCAUAACUCUCUCAAUUUAACUUGGAAUUGGAAAUGGUUGAUAGUGUUAGACAAUACAUUCACAAAGCUACAACUUUACAGAAGAAAUCGUUCCAAGUUUCAGCAUGCAACUGGUUCAAAAUCAAGCCUCAAGUUGCAGCAUCAUCAAAUCAUUUUGGCAGAACGGAGAAACAGGACAGCCGACUUCAGAUGAAUGGUGUGGCUCACACACAUGAAACCAGAAUGUGCACUAUACACCGUUGGAAACAUGGGAACGUCUAGUUUCAAAUGCCGCUAACGGCACUUGAUUUCGACGUCGGAGUACAGAGUUAUGGACGAAACACGAACACUGGUCUGGUUACGACGGCAACCGUUUUCCCAGAUUACUAGAUUUGGAAAUAAAUUCGUUUGACCCAUCAAAACUCAAUAUUUUUCAAUGAAAUUUUGUACACAACUACUACAACAUAUAUACAACAUAAUCAAGCCAUUAAAUCCUCAAAAUUCUGCAUUUAAGUGACCGAACAGAGCAGGGGUAAAAUAGGAAUUUUUUGUUUCAAGAGUUCAAUAACGUUUCUGGUAACAAAGCACCUUUAAUCUACUUCCUUAAGCUCUAAUUCAGCAAAUAAACCAUCAUCAAACAUCAUCACAGCCAUCAACCCAAAGUGGGAGUUCAUAGAGCCCACAUUUUCAACAAUACAAGCUAUUAAAGUAAAGAUUCCAACUCAAAUGCGUAAAUCAACUUCCAUAAGACAAGUUGAAGGUGUUAGAUUACUACCUACUUUGAUGGCUGGUUUGGACAGAUUUUUCGGUCCUUUGAAGCUUGAAGAAACCGUGAAAGCUCCUCCCUUUUUCAGCCUAUGUUGUUGUCCAAGUGAAAAACUAAAUGAAUGUGAAGUUUGGUGAGAAUCUAUGGAAGUUUUGGUAGGAAUUUGGUUGAGUUUUGGAAGAGAAGAAAUGGUGAAGCUUCGGUUGUUCCUUUGCUGCAGUCUAGCCGUCCAUUGCAGCAGAGGAAAGGAAAUGAAUUGCGGUUCCGAAGCCUUUGCGUAUAAGAGACGCUUGACGUCAAAUCUUUUAAUACGUCAAAUCAAUUAUAACUAGUACCCUACACUCGCGUUUUGUGUUUGAUUUCUCUUACGUUUGUUGCACUAGUGCACUAAACCUCUAAGGCACUUACAUUUGUAUAAAUAUUAUUCAUUCCUAGUUGUCUCAAAAUAAUGGUCCAAAGUCUCCCAAUUAAGCGCGCACGUGAAAACACGUAUUUCUAAUUUAGGCGCAAUAAAAUUGAAACUUUUGAAAAAUUCUUAUAACGAUUGUACCACUAGUUAUUACUUGUGUGUUUAAACCUAAAAUUGUCUAUUUUAGAAUCAUUGUAUAUGUCUUAAAUUUUUAGCUUAUUGCACUCCCAAUUGACUAAAGUUGAAAUACGUUUUCACUUUUUCACUAAUUAAGUUUUUAUGAAAAUAUUUGUUUAUUCAUCUAUAUUUUUAUUUUAUUUUAUUUUUUAAAAUGAGACACUUUAGAAAUAUAAUGAACUAUAAAAUCAUGAACUUAGAUCUAAUAGGCUAGAAAAUAUUAUUCGUGACAAAAAUUCAAAUAAAUAAUUAAUUGAGUCAAAAUUAGAAAUUUUAAAAUAAUAAAAAUUUCGAGUCCUCCCGUAAAAACCACUUCCCAAAAUGCAAAUGUACUUGUUUUUUUUUUCAAUCUGAACCUUAGGCAUUCAAUUCUAAACCUUUAAUCCGGAAGCUAAAUGUUAAAUCAGCUCUAGCUCUAAGAAUUAAAGACUCAACAAAUUACGCUCAUUCGAUUUGAGGCAGAACAAGAAAUUCCGUCUACAUAGCCAAUAUUCCAUGAGCGAACCUCGCUAUCAAAAAGGAAAAGAAAAAAGGGAAUAAUUCAACCCAAAAAGAUGCUUGUGAAAGAAACCAAUUUCCUUCUUUAAAAAGCUCUCGAAUUUAAUCAAUAUCCAGAAUUUACCUGAAGUUCCGGUGUUUUGCAGGAACUCCGGCGAGUUUAAGAAUUGGGGAAAGAAGAAAAACACACAGAGGUGGAGACCGGAACUUUCUAGCCAUGGCUGGACUCCAAAAUUGUGACAGAGGAAGGAGGCGGCGGAGAAAGAGCAGAGCCUGGGAC
rnacentral:lncRNA from 1 species